UAAGAUGUUGAGGCAACCCUUCACAAGGCAAGAGAACACUGUUAUCGAAACCUGUGUUCUUGCAUCCUCUGCAUAGCCUUUGUGAAUUUGUUAAUGUUGUUGUCAUAGCUGUAGUGUUAUGAAUUGGUUAGUUGUUGUGAUUUGUGAUCAUGCUUUUUUGGUUCUGUUUCAGAUUUUGCAAUGUGAUAGUUUGUGGUGGCAUGGAUUUGCAUUUUAUCAGCUGUGAAUUUCUUUCUUAAAACUUUUGUUUUUCUUGCAGUUUUUAUGAUAAUCAAUGGUUGUUUCUUAUAUCAUUCAGUAUUUCUAUUUUGACAGGAUGGUGAAGGUGUAACUGAGGAGGUGAAAAAUAGUUACCAUAUUUUCAGAAAAUUAGAGUCAUGAUCAUCCCAUUUCUAUGAUUUUUUUUCUUUAGCUUUUACCUUACCUUUCCUGUGUAUUAUAUUUGGUUCAACCUUUUACCAUUUCUAUGAUUCUUUGUAUCCAUUGCUGCUGGGUAAAUUGCUUAUUUGUGUUCUACCUCAGCUGUGAAUGACUUCUUUUUUUUCUUCUACCUUUCCUGUGUAUUAUACCUAAGCCUUCUAUGUCAGCCCUUAUUUGUUUGAUUUUACCUAAGCCUUCUAUGUCAGCCCUAAUAUUUGUUUGCUUUAUUGUCUUUAGCAUUUGUUGGUUAUGAUUUUUUUCUAUGGGUGUUUAACCAUGUCAUUUUGUAGAUAAUAAUUUGAAAAAUUAAGUUGCACCAUUUGCACCAUUUGUAUUCUGUUGUUUAGUUAAUUUUGUUUAUAUUUUGGUAUAUCCUAACUGAUAUUGAUUUUUAAUUUUGACCGAGACCAACAAACUACACGAAUAAUAGUGUUUGGCAUUUCAAAUACAGGUUUGUUGAAAUUUUGAUAUUGUUUGCAAUAUUUAUUGUCCUGAAUUGAGUUUGUUCUUUGUUGCAGUGAUUGUUAAUCUCAGAGUCACUGGCGAUUGUUACUUUGCUGAAGUAAUGUAUAGACGCCUACAAAAUCCCAUCAGCAGAUUUUUUGGAAUCUGUGUUUAUACAGGGCCCAUCAAAUUUACAUGUACCGAGAAUUGUGCAUCGAUUUGACACGUCAUUCCAUGUUGAGCAGAACGUCAUUGAGGUUCCUUUUGCUUAUCAUAGACAAUGGUCCCCAAAUUAUCCAAAUUAUGUGUUAUUCGACUACGAAGGAGACAAACACUUUAUAAAGCUUCAUAAAUAUAAUAACCAAUUCUUUUUUGGCGAUGGACUCAAGGAACUUAGGAGAACCCAUGGCAUUCACGAAAGUGUUCUCAUGCGUUUUGUUGGAAGGGACAAAAAUACUACUUUCAGUGUGGAUGUUGUGGGACCUCUACACCAAAGGGCAGGCCCAACCAUAAGGCACCAUGUUUUUACCAUUGAUGUCUCUGAAGAUAUGAUACAACACAAUUAUCAAUUGGUUUUGCCACCAGAGGCUUCAAUUUAUUUAACUGCAUCAAAAAAAAAUAUGGUUGUGGAUCGUGGUAGUGGUAGGCAUCACAAAUGGAUGAUCACAUGAAUAAUGGCCUAUCAUGUGCUGCUGUCGCGUGGAUCUAUUAUUUAGGUGACUGUCAUUUGAAGGUUGGAGAUGAGGUCAUCUUUUUCUACAACAUUGACCAACAUUUAUGGGAGGUCCUCCAUAGGAAGCAAGUUAAAUGGGAUGACAAAGAGGAUGAAGCUGACUCUCCUUGAAGAACUAUUUAAUUAUUUAUCUUUGUAUUAUUUUGAUAUAUUAUGUCUGUAACUUAAUUACUAAUUACCCUCAAGUAACGAACAAUUUUUUUUACUUUUGUUUCGGUUUAAACAUUGCUAGCAACAGUACAAAUAUUAUUAUGUUAUAUUCUA